rnacentral:sRNA from 1 species
GACUAGCCCGGAUAGGAGCGGCAUCCUUUUAUGAAGCGACAGCGGCAUAAAAGAUACAGCGGAUAGCCGGAAUAGCU